GCUACAAUAUUCUAGCUCCCGCUAAAAUGUAGGCAUCACCAGCUAUCUGACAAUAUGCGUAAAAUUAUUAUACUUGUAAUAUUCGCACAGAUAUAGACGAAUAAAAGUCAUGUUAUGUUGCAUUAAACUUUCUAAUUAUAAUUCUGGUUUCAAAUAUUGUUUACAUUUUGUUAUUUUGACCCCGUCGUUUAGACAACGUUUUCUAGCUCAAUAUUGUAGCUACAAUAUUCUAGCUCGUACCAAAAUGUAGCUGAUUUCACCAGCUAUCUGACAAUAUGUGUAAAAUUAUUAUACUUGUAAUAUUCGCACAGAUAUAGACGAAUAAAAGUCAUGUUUAUGUUGCAUAGGGCUAUUCCAUUUAAUAUCCGUACCCCCCCUGUCGAGGAUCCCUGGAAUUCUUCAGGGGUAAAGGGUUUUGAGCUUGGAAUUCUUCAGGGGCAAAGUGUUUUGAGCUUGGAAUUCUUCAGGGGUAAAGUGUUUUGAGUUUGGAAUUCUUCAGGGGUAAAAGGUUUUGAGCUUGGAAUUCUUCAGGGGGAAAGGGUUUUGAGCUUGGAAUUCUUCAGGGGUAAAGAGGUUUGACUUUGAAAUUUUUCAGAGCUUGGAAUUCUUCAGGGCUGAAGGGUUUUCAGCUUGGAAUUCUUCAGGGGUAAAAGGUUUUGAGCUUGGAAUUCUUCAGGUGUAAAGAAUUUUGAGCUUGGAAUUCUUCAGGGGUAAAGGGUUUUGAGCUUGGAAUUCUUCAGGGGUAAAGUGUUUUGAGUUUGGAAUUCUUCAGGGGUAUAACAAUGAAAAACAUGUAUCCUCGACAGGGGGUGUACGGAUAUUAAAUGGGAU